rnacentral:rRNA from 1 species
GGUUGAUCCUGCCAGUACUAUAUGCUUGUUUCAAAGGCUAAGCCAUGCAAGUGUUAGUUUAAAUGAUUUUAUACAGUAAAACUGCGAAUGGCUCAUUAUAUCAGUUAUAGUUUAUUUGAUGGAUAGUAAUUUCGGUUACACUUACAUGGAUAACUGUAGUAACAUAGAGCUAAUACAUGCAAUAAUACCUAACUUUUUGGAAGGGUAUGCACUUAUUAGAUAUUUUAAACCAAUAGCUCCGUUAAAAGAGUUUUAAAAGGUGAUUCAUAAUAACUGAACAAAUCGCAUUAUUUUAUAUAGGCGAUGUAUCAUUCAAAUUUCUGCCCUAUCAUACUUGUAGUUAGUAUAGAGGACUAACUAGGUUUUUACGGGUAACGGGGAAUUAGGGUUCGAUUCCGGAGAAGGAGCAUGAGAAACGGCUACUAUUUCUAAGGAAAGCAGCAGGCGCGCAAAUUAUUCAAUGAAAAUAUAUUUUCGAAAUAGUGACAAAAAAUAACAAUAUAAUUAUAUUUUAUAAUUAUAAUUGGAAUGAGUACAAUUUAAACCCAUUAAUGAGUAACAAUUAGAGGGCAAGUCUGGUGCCAGCAGCCGCGGUAAUUCCAGCUCUAAUAGCGUAUAUUAAUAUUGUUGCAGUUAAAAAGCUCGUAGUUGAAUAUUGAAAUAUAUAAUUGAUGAUUAUAUUGAUUUAUAAUUAUUAUUAUUAUUUCUUCCUACUAAGAUUCGAUAUUGAUCUUAAUUGAUUGAUAUUAUAAUUCUCGGAUUGUUGAUUGGUUAUAAAGGCUCCAUAUUACAGUAUGAUUAUGUAAAAGUUUGAUUAUUGUAACAAUGGAUCAAGUUUUUAUAAUUUAUUAGAAUUUUAGUUCAUUUACUUUGAGAAAAUUAGAGUGUUCAAAUCAGUCUUUAGAGACUUUGUAUAUAAUUAGCAUGGGAUAAUAAAAUAGGAUUUAAUUAUUAUAUUGUUGGUUUAAAUAAUUAGAUAAUGAUUAAUAGGGAUAGUUGGGGGUAUUUAUAUUAGACGGUUAGCGGUGAAAUGCUCAGAUCCGUUUAAGAUAAACUAAAGCGAAAGCAUUUACCAAGGAUGUUUUCAUUAAUCAAGAACGAAAGUUAAGGGAUCGAAGACGAUCAGAUACCGUCGUAGUCUUAACUAUAAACUAUGCCGACCAGGGAUGUGAGAAGUUAAACAAUACAAUUGUAAUAGAUUGUAUUAUAUCCUCUUAUGCACCUUGUGAGAAAUCAUAAGUUAUUAGGUUCUGGGGGAAGUAUGGUCGCAAGGCUGAAACUUAAAGGAAUUGACGGAGGGGCACCACCAGGAGUGGAGCGUGCGGCUUA